ACGGGGGGGCACAAGCGGUGGAGCAUGUGGUUUAAUUUGAUGAUACGCGAGGAACCUUACCUGGGUAGAAUGUGGUGGCCGUGGGUGAAAGCUCACUUUGUAGCAAUACACCCCAGUAAGGUGUGCAUGGCUGUGUCAGCUGUGCCGUGAGGUGUUGGGUAAGUCCGCAACGAGGCAACCCCUAUUUGUUGCCAACGGUUAAGUGGGAACUUAAAGAAACGCCGUGUAAGACCGAGGAAGGAGGGGAUGAUGUCAAGUCAUCAUGGCCUUUAUGCCCAGGGUACACACGUGCUACAAUGGUAGGAACAAAGGGCUGCUAUUGGUAACAAGCUGCUAAUCUCAAAAAUCCUAUUUCAGUUCCGACUGGGGUUGCAACUGCCUCGAAGCGAAUCGC
rnacentral:rRNA from 1 species